GAUGAACGCUGGCGGCGUGCCUAAUACAUGCAAGUCGAGCGAACAGACGAGGAGCUUGCUCCUCUGACGUUAGCGGCGGACGGGUGAGUAACACGUGGAUAACCUACCUAUAAGACUGGGAUAACUUCGGGAAACCGGAGCUAAUACCGGAUAAUAUAUUGAACCGCAUGGUUCAAUAGUGAAAGACGGUUUUGCUGUCACUUAUAGAUGGAUCCGCGCCGCAUUAGCUAGUUGGUAAGGUAACGGCUUACCAAGGCAACGAUGCGUAGCCGACCUGAGAGGGUGAUCGGCCACACUGGAACGGAGACACGGUCCAGACUCCUACGGGAAGCAGCAGUAGGGAAUCUUCCGCAAUGGGCGAAAGCCUGACGGAGCAACGCCGCGUGAAUGAUGAAGGUCUUCGGAUCGUAAAACUCUGUUAUUAGGGAAGAACAAAUGUGUAAGUAACUAUGCACGUCUUGACGGUACCUAAUCAGAAAGCCACGGCUAACUACG
rnacentral:rRNA from 1 species